AGCGAACGUUAGCGGCGGGCCUAACACAUGCAAGUCGAACGCGAAAGGUCUUCGGACUGAGUAGAGUGGCGCACGGGUGAGUAACACGUAGGUAAUCUACCCUUUGGCGGGGGAUAACGUUCCGAAAGGAGCGCUAAUACCGCAUAAGACCACGGAGUCUCCGGACGCUGUGGGAAAAGGUGGCCUCUUCUUGAAAGCUACCACCGAAGGAUGAGCCUGCGUCCCAUCAGCUAGUUGGUAAGGUAAUGGCUUACCAAGGUGAAGACGGGUAGCUGGUUUGAGAGAAUGAUCAGCCACACUGGCACUGGAACACGGGCCAGACUCCUACGGGAGGCAGCAGUGAGGAAUAUUGGGCAAUGGGCGAAAGCCUGACCCAGCCACGCCGCGUGAGUGAUGAAGGCCCUCGGGUCGUAAAGCUCUGUGGAGAGGGACGAACACCCUGGUUUCAAAUAGGCUCCAGGCUUGACGGUACCUCUUUAGCAAGCACCGGCUAACUCUGUGCCAGCAG
rnacentral:rRNA from 1 species